rnacentral:tRNA from 1 species
GAAAUAAUUUAAUAAAAGAAUAAGCUUCUAACUUAAUUCUUAAGCGUUGUAAAACGUUUUUAUUUCU